CUACAUAUAUAUACACACUACUCUUGAUCUAUCCCAAAUAAUAAAGCGCAGGCCUGCGGCAUGGAACUGCUCCGGAAGCGAGAUAGCCCUGAGUACAAGGUGAUGAUGCGGGGUUGCAAAAGGCAUCAAUAAUCUGUUAGCUAGUUAUUAUGUAAUUGCUGCCAAAUAGCUUGUGUCACGCCAUGGAUUCCCCCGGAUUGCUUCUGCAGUACACAGUGGCAAUGAUGGGUUACGGCCCUGAAGACAAGGACGCGGUGCUGGAGCUGACCUACAACUAUGGUGUCACCGAGUAUGCCAAGGGGAAUGCAUAUGCCCAGGUGUGCAAUUUGGUUUUCCUCCUCCUUCUUCGCGCGCGCUAUGGCCGCCCCAGCAGUCGAGGCUUGACUCUAGACACGCAUGAUGCGGAGAGAUCAAGCAGAUCGCCAUUGGCACCGACGAUGUCUACAGGACCGCGGAGGCGGCGAAGCUGUCCGGAGGCCAGGUGGUGCGGGAGCCGGGGCCCUUGCCAGGGAUCAACACCAAGAUCACAGCCAUCCUGGACCCUGAUGGCUGGAAAUUGGUACUGUACUACUACUAUCCAAUGCGCCCAUCUUUUGGUCUGUAUUGAAGAACGAUUCUCUUUUAUUAGAGGGAAAAGCUUCUUACAAUGUCCAUAUAUCAUAGUGCAGGUCUUCGUCGACAACAUGGACUUCGCCAAGGAACUGGAGUAGCCACGCCAACGACCUCGGACGCCCUGCAACAGGAUUAACUCGCACUGCUGUUGGUCCGUAAUUAAAAUGAAAGCUAUCCUAGUGAAAUCCCAAAUUUUCAUCAUGCAUAGAAUACAGGACCACCAUUAUAUUUGCGAAAGACCCUGAAUCAACGAUCCCAGACAGAUGACUUAUGGGCCAAUUCCCUGUAUACCACUGGAAAAUAUACUCAUCCCUUGUAUGCCACUGGCCCCACAUGUCAUAGACACCAAAAAUUAUACCUAUAUGCCACUCAGUGGCAUACAAGGGAUGAGUAUAAAAUCUGAUGGCAUACCAGGAAUUUUCUCAUGACUUAUAAUGUGUCCACUCGUGUUAAAAACAAAAAAAGACAUCUGACAUUCUUAAGAAAGUUUUCAUAUUACCCACGGAUGGAAAAAAAUAAAAAUCGACCAGAACAGCUAAACUGAUGUGACAUUCGAUCCUGUGCCAUGAUUCAUCAUAUGUGUGAGACUUGGUCCCAGCACACCUGGUGAUUAUGUUCGCGCCCGGGUCUUGGUGCCCCUAAAAUCCGGGUGUGACAAAAGUGGUAUCAAAGGAAUGUUGACUGUAGGACGAAACCUAGAUAGAACUGGACAACCAAUACUUACUUACCUUUGCUACUCUGAUUCUUUUCUAAAAUUUUCUUAAUCUUUUCUCAUCUAUUUCUGCUUUACUCUGAUCAUUCUUACCUUAUCUUUCUAAAGACAAAUGUGGAUUUCACACUUUGAAAUCAUGUGCCUAAAAGUGACCUUUAGAAAUAGGAGACUUAAUCUUAGGAACAAAAAACAAAACUAUUUUUAUAAAUAUCUAUGAACUUGAAUGUUUGUUCUUAUGAUACUUGUCUGAUUUGGAUCUUUGAUUGAGUGUAAUGAGUUGUGGAGUAAUGUCCACAAUUACAUCUACAUAUACAUAUAGGCAUAGAUAUAAAUAAAUAAAAUUCAUAAGAUAACUAAACAAUCUAGAUUAUCCUCCAUUAAAGUGUAUCUAUUUUAAAUAGAUCCCACUUAACUCAAAGGAUCCUAACUUAUCCUAAUUAAAAUGUAUCUGUCUUAAUAGAUCCACCUUAUCUUAAAAGACUCUCUCUUAUCUUAAUAGAUACACACUAUCUUGAAAAGAUUUAGCUGCGAUGGCGGUCGGACGGGGGAUUCUUGCAAGUGCUCUUCCCAUAAACUGUAGCGGGUUUUCGGAAGCUAGUGGAACUUUGUAAAGGCCUCGUAGUGGAUCCCUAGCCAUUCACCUCGGUAGUGUCUAAGGGCCUAGCUAACCCUGGCGACAUGGGAUACACGACUUGUGGGUAAAGGGUACAACCUCUGCAGAGUGUAAAACUGGUAUACUAGCCGAGCUCACGGUCAUGAGCAGCUCAGGACUCUCUGAUGAUUAAAUUAUGGAACCUAAACUCAAUUUGUCAUUUGCAUUUGCAUGGGUUUAUUAUUAAUUUUGUUCUCUAUUAUUUUAUUAUGGUUUGGUAUUUACUUACACUUAGUAACUGCUAAUAAAAGUUUGACCAACAUUAAAAGCAAUGCUCAGCUUUAACCAUUCUCUUUGAUAAGCCUUACACUCCAUGAGCUCCCACCUUUGGUGAGUUCAUGUCACAUUAUUCCCCACAACUUGUUGAGCGAUGAUCAUGUGUGAGCUCACCCUUGCUGUCUCACACCCCCCCCCCACAGGAGAAGAACAGGUGGUUCAGGAGGAGCCACAAGGCGAGGAGUAUGAUCUGAUCUAGGUGGCGUUUCUCAGUUGACAUUGGCGCCGACGAUCCUUAGUUCGUUUUACAUUUAUUCUUUUAUUUUGUAAUAAGUCUUCCGCUAUGUAAUAAAUACUCUAAUGUUUUAUGACAUUUAUCUCUAUACACUCUGUUAUUAUAUAUGUUGUCUUCUUGGCGCAUGUAUGAGAUGCACCCGGCUUUGUUCCUUAAAGCCGGGUGUGACAAGGUUCUUUGGAACCGAACCUCGGUAAAACAAAUCAUCGUGUUCACUCGCCUUGAAUCUUGUUGAUUUGUUUUCCCUCUCUUACGUUUCCUUGCUAGUGUAAAUUUGAGGUGUAAAUUUGGGUUGGUUCCCAUACGUCAUCUGUAAUCUUUGAGCAACUCCUAGCAAGAGAGAUAUUUUUUGGACUUGAAUUUAAUUCUAACGCUAACCCCGACCUUAGUGUGUGUUUAAGUUUAUAAAUUUUAGGUUUCGCCUAUUCACCCUCCCUCUAGGCGACUUUCAAAAAUAGAGAUGAGGGUAGAUUGGAAUGAAGCGAAAUCUUGGUUUUUUGUGAGUAUCCUUAAAGAGUACACUUCACUAAGAUAUCGUGGCCAAAUGGUUGGACGAAAGAUGCUUGGAAUAAUAUGGCACAACGAAUAAACGAAAAUUUUGAAUCAGCAAACUUUGUAGUUUCACAAUUGAAUGACAGAGAGCAAAGGCUAAAGAAAGAUUAUAAUGCAGUUAAGGAAAUUGUGUCAAAGAGUGGUUUCGGUUGGGACAAUGAUCUAAAGAUGGCGACAACUAUUUACAGGCUAUGGAAUGAGCUAUCUGCAGAGAUGGAAAAGCAAGCCCUUCCCUUACUAUGAUGAUAUGCAUGAGAUUUACAAUGGUACACACAACUACUUGUAGAGAUGGAGAAACAAGCCCUUCCCUUACGAAGCAGCAAUCAGGGCCUUAGUACCGUGAACGUAUAGAGGUGUUUGGGAUGACUCCAUGGGUGUUUGGGAUGGCUCCAUGCUCUAGCUCUAAUGCGGAGUUGUAGUUUAUAAUACUAAUUUAAAUAGUUUUAAAAAUACUUUUAAUCUACAUAAUAAACAAAAUGACUUAUCUACAUGUUUUCUAAAGGAUUACAACUCUAGCUCUAUGAUUUUCUAGAGCACAUAAUGACCUACUCUAGCAACUUCACUAAAUUUUCUGGAGAUGAGACUGUCCCAAACAAGGCCAUCAUAUCGUGUUGUUUGAAUUGAACUCUUAAAAAUAAUUAGUAAAAGUCGGUUUAUUAAGUGGUGUUUGAGACCGCUACAAUUCACGAAAAUCAACUCAGCUUCAUAAACCUCUAACCAAACACUUCUAACUUCAACAACUUAGCUUCACCAAAAAUAAUAUGAAGUUAUAUAGGUGCUGGUAUUGCUCUCCUUCACAAAAACUAGCUCAACUUCACAAAAUUUAAGGUAGAGCAACUCAACUUUAAAUUUGCAGAUUUUUAACGUGUUUGACUUGUAAAUUGGCUUUACUAAAAAAUAUAUAAUUAAAAUUAAUAAUAUAAAAUAGAUAAAAUGUGUUUCUCCUUUCUCUUUCCAGUGAUAGAAGUUCACUCGUAGGCACGUAGGCUCAGUGCAGUAACUACCGCGCACGUGUGUUAGCUUUUCAUUGCAUCUCAGCACUUGCUCGGGGGCAUGUACACCAGCGUGGAGAGCUGGUGGAGCGCGUGGCCAUGGCGCAUAGGUGGGGCUCAGGCGGACCUGCUCGUCGCCAUGGCCAAGGCGCCGACGUAGAGCGUAGGCGGGCACGCAGCUCGGCCUGACGCAUAGCGCAGGCGCGUCGAUGUGGCCAGGUGUGGUCGCCGACCGAUGAGAUGGGAAGGCGGGUGUCGAGUACUUGGGAACCGGGUACCUGAAAUAGCUUAAGGCCUUGCAUUAUUCGUUAUUGCAAUUCAUUGUGGAGAAGUGUCGGUGAAGAAGUAUGUUUUCGACCAAGAUGUGGCGAGAAAGGCCCUUGCUGAAAUGGUUGUUUUGCAUGAAUAUCCAUUGUCCAUUGUGGAUCAUGUUGGUUUUAGAAGGUACUCAAGUGUUCUUCAACCGAUGUUUAAGAUGAUCACUAGAAACACUUUGAAGAAUGACAUCAUUGAGAUUUAUGAGAUUGAGAAGAAGAAGGCCUUGAGCUUUAUGCAGAAGAAUAUAAUGCAAGAAUUGCAAUAACGACUGAAAUGUGGACAACUGAGAAUUGCAAUAACGACUGAUAUGGGAAUUGCAAUAACGACUGAUAUGGGGAGGCGGGUGUCGAGUACUUGGUUGCUUCUAGGUUCUGGCUUUGACACUCUUUCUAGUGACCUUGUUCACUUCUUGAGCUUGAUCUUGAGCCUUAUGACUUACACCACAUAACCAUGGGUAUUACCUCAUUAGUUAUAAGUCACGUCCUUAAGUUGUGAUCCUCGAUGCGUCAUAUCUCUUCUCAACUCGAUCAACCUUGACUUUGCAAGUGUUAUUCUUCACCCUGGCUUUGGUUUCCUCGGCCUCCUUGACCUUCUCCCGUGAACUCAGUACCUCGAAGCUCUUCUUGCCUCCAUCCUUGGCUUGAUUAGUUGUCUUCGAGUUACACACUGAGUCUCACUUAGACAAAGUUCAUCUUACUUGUGACAUCUGUUAUCCAUAAACAUUCCAGUCUUUGUACCAUCACACUUGUUCACUUGUGUUGAACCUUGUAAGCUUUGAACUAAGUACCUAUUUAACACUUAUCAACUCCUAUUAGUCCUUUAAUUAGGUUGUCAUCCAAACCACCAAAACCACAAGGGAGCUUUCAAUAUAUACAUAUAUACAAUAUCUAUUCUUUUUAUAACAUAAAUGUCCUUUGUAUAACAUAAAUAAAGAUGACUUGAUUAGCAAACUGAAGUUUAGUUCUCAUACCGGUAUUAUUCGCUAAGGAGAGGACCCACGAAGAAAUUCACACUUAAAAGGUGUAUAGAUUUAGAUAACUCAUUUUAUUUAUUAUUUAGAUUAAAAAUAUUUUCUAAACUAUUUAAUUUUCAUGGGACUGCUCCAGAUCUCUAAAAUUUGGUAGAGUUAGAAGAGUAGGUUAUUAUGUGCUCCAAAAAUCAUAUAGCUGGAGUUGUGAACUUUUAGAAGAUUGUUUUUUGUUUAUUGUUUAUAUUUAAAAUAUUUUUAAACUAUUUAAAUUUAUAUUAUAAACUACAGCUUCACACUUGAGCUUGAACCUAGAGCAGUCUCAAGCACUUUUAUAAACUACAACUCUACGCUUAAGCUGGAUUAGAGUAGUCCUAAAAUACUCCCUAUAUCACAGCUCGAUAGCCUGACUCAAUUUGUUAAUGGCUUGAUUUGACUUGACUUAUUCAUAUUUUUGAAGAUAGUUAGCAAACGAGUCAUCUCGUGAGUAGGCUCAAAGACUAAUAAUUGAAACUUAUCGGCUUCAAACUUAAGGACCCUUUUGGAAAACAGGAUUUUUUUUUGUUUCAUGUGUUUUUCCUAUAAAAUGAACUAGUUUAUGUAAAAUUCAUGUAUGAUCCCUCUAAAAUUCCUGCAUUUCAAAGGAACCCUAAGCUAGCUUUGUAUUACACGAUGUCCUGCAGUUUACAGUCUAACAAUAGUUAGAUUUAGAUCUUUAAAACUUAGAUUAUUAUGUCCCUACAAAUUUGUUUUUAAUAAAUAUAUAGAUAAUCAGUAAUGGACUAUGAAUAUAUACGUGUAGUAUGAAAUAUGGACUAUAGAUAUAUACUGUUUUAUUAUCGUACGUACAUAUACAUAUGCACGCUAUUCAUCACCUAGGGGUGAAGAUUCACCCAGCGAUAAUUACUAAGAGAUCUUCAAUUAUUACACGCUAGUUGAAGCUUCAUCUAGAGUGACAAAUAGUGCUGCCAUAUACAUAAACACAAAUGUAUACACAUAUGCUAUAUAACACCUAGUGUGAAGCUUCACCCAAACUCAAUUGGCCCAACCGAGGAGCCAGCCAUGCGCCAUGAUUUUUCGGAUCCACACACCAUUUUUAUCGGUUCCAUUGGUGAUCCCAGAAAAAAAUUAAACAUAAUACUCGGACCCACAUAACCUAUUUCGCACAUUGGUUUGACCUAACGUGACCAUAGCUGCGUGCAGCUGUGGGGCUGGUACACACCCUGUGGUGUCAACACAACCUAUUCGGACCGGCGGGUGCAGGGCUGCAUCUGCAUGCGGUCAUUCCUGUGAGAUCCAGCUUUACAGCUCUGCGCGGGUCCCAUUGUCCCAUAUCUUGACAGGUGUCUUGACUAGUUCAACAACUCUUCUUCCAACGGCCUGUGGCGGCGACAGUUGUCCAAACCAAAUACAUUGAGGAUAGCACGAGAAAGGGGCGCCAAGCAAACCGGGUCGGCCAGCAGACACCGCCAUGAGGACUCUACUACCUGUGGCCGCCGGUCGCGGGACCGUCGCCUGCGCGGCCACGCCCGUCCCCCGGAGGUCGCUGCUCCUCUCCACCGCUGCCGCAGGUGAGCACCACUCGUCCCUCGACUGUGGCAGUAGCAGUAGCACCGCAGCUAUAGCUGAUGACCUGCUGUGUGUUUUUUUUUAAUUCAUUGCAAGCAGGUGCGGCGCUGCAGCCGGAGCAGGUGGCUGGGACGAGGCCGUUGAGGCUGACCAGGAGCGUGGCGAGCGCCGUGGCAAAGCCCAGGACCUCGGCCGACGAGGCCAUCUCGUGGGCGAAGAAGGACAACCGCCGGCUCCUCCACGUCGUCUACCGGGUCGGCGACCUCGACAAGACGAUCAAGUACUCGCCUCUGAAUUCUGAACUGGAACAGCUCGUCGGCCCGGCCCUGCUGGUCUGAUGACCCAAUAACGCAGUGCAGGUUCUACACCGAGUGCCUGGGGAUGAAGCUGCUCAGGAAGAGAGACAUACCAGAGGAGAAGUACAGCAACGCGUUCCUCGGGUACGGGCCCGAGGAAUCGCAUUUCGUCGUCGAGCUCACUUACAGUCAGUGCGCUCAGUCACUCGGCAUCCCUCACCCCCCCCCCCCCCCCUCUGACCCCUGUACUGUGCAGUCUGCGGUUUCCAGGUUCCUGAUCUUGCUGAAUCCAUUCACAGAUUACGGGGUUGACAAAUAUGACAUAGGCGAAGGGUUCGGCCAUUUCGGCAUCGCAGUCGAGGACGUAAGAUGGCGAACCUAAGACUGCUCCAUCGAUGAGUUAGAAUAGAGAACGUACCAUGCUUGGGAUCAUCUGGAUGAUUCGUGAAACAGGUGGCCAAGACGGUAGAGCUCAUAAGAGCAAAGGCUGGAAAGGUCAUCAGGGAAGCCGGUCCUGUCAAGGGCGGCGAGACCGUCAUCGCCUUCGUGGAGGACCCCGACGGCUACAAGUUUGAGAUCAUCGAGAGGCCUGGAACUCCGGAACCCUUGUGCCAGGUGAUGCUCCGCGUCGGCGACCUUGACCGUGCCAUAAGCUUCUAUGAGAAGGUAAGUAGGUGUAGGCUUUGUUGUCAUAUAUAAGCUCCAUAUCCUUUGUUGUCCAAAAAAAAAAAAAAUCAUCGCUACAUAUAUAUACACACUACUCUUGAUCUCUCCCAAAUAAUAAAGCGCAGGCCUGCGGCAUGGAACUGCUCCGGAAGCGAGAUAGCCCUGAGUACAAGGUGAUGAUGCGGGGUUGCAAAAGGCAUCAAUAAUCUGUUAGCUAGUUAUUAAGUAAUUGCUGCCAGAUAACUUGUGUCACGCCAUGGAUUCCCCCGGAUUGCUUCUGCAGUACACAGUGGCAAUGAUGGGUUACGGCCCUGAAGACAAGGACGCGGUGCUGGAGCUGACCUACAACUAUGGUGUCACCGAGUAUGCCAAGGGGAAUGCAUAUGCCCAGGUGUGCAAUUUGGUUUUCCUCCUCCUUCUUCGCGCGCGCUAUGGCCGCCCCAGCAGUCGAGGCUUGACUCUAGACACGCAUGAUGCGGAGAGAUCAAGCAGAUCGCCAUUGGCACCGACGAUGUCUACAGGACCGCGGAGGCGGCGAAGCUGUC
rnacentral:lncRNA from 1 species